UAAAGAGCAUGUAGGCUGAUUAGUAAGUUGGAAGUGAAAUCCUAUGGCUCAACCAUAGAACUGCUUCCAAACUGCUUAUCUAGAGUAUGGGAGAGGUAGAUGGAAUUUCUGGUGUAGGGGUAAAAUCCGUAGAGAUCAGAAGGAAUACCGAUUGCGAAGGCGAUCUACUGGAACAUUACUGACGCUGAGAUGCGAAAGCGUGGGGAGCAAACAGGAUUAGAUACCCUGGUAGUCCACGCCCUAAACGAUGCACACUAGUUGUUGCUAUGCUAGACAUAGCAGUAAUGCAGUUAACACAGUAAGUGUGCCGCCUGGGGAGUACGGUCGCAAGAUUAAAACUCAAAGGAAUAGACGGGGACCCGCACAAGCGGUGGAGCAUGUGGUUUAAUUCGACGAUACGCGAAGAACCUUACCUGGCCUUGACAUAGUAAGAAUCUAAUAGAGAUAUAAGAGUGCUAGUUUACUAGAGCUUACAUACAGGUGCUGCACGGCUGUCGUCAGCUCGUGUCGUGAGAUGUUGGGUUAAGUCCCGCAACGAGCGCAACCCUCGUGUUUAGUUACUAACAGUUCGGCUGAGGACUCUAGACAGACUGCCUGGGUAACCAGGAGGAAGGUGAGGACGACGUCAAGUCAUCAUGGCCCUUACGGCCAGGGCUACACACGUGCUACAAUGGGGUAUACAAAGAGCCGCGAUACCGUGAGGUGGAGCAAAUCUCAUAAAAUAUCUCCCAGUUCGGAUUGAAGUCUGCAACUCGACUUCAUGAAGUUGGAAUCGCUAGUAAUCGUAGAUCAGCAAUGCUACGGUGAAUACGUUCCCGGGUCUUGUACUCACCGCCCGUCACACCAUGGGAGUUGAUUUCAUUCGAAGCGGGGAUGCUAAAAUAGCUACCUUCCACAGUGGAAUUAGCGACUAGGGUGAAGUCGUAACAAGGUAACC
rnacentral:rRNA from 1 species